rnacentral:lncRNA from 1 species
CUUCGCAGUCCCAGCCCCCGUGGAGGUCACCAGCCCAGGGGACCUCCCUGGCCUGGCCCCCUGGGGGUGGCAUGCGGGGACAGGGCCAGGGCCAGGCCUCCCCCCCAGGGCAGGACGGCCCCGCCUGGCGCUAUCUCAGGAGCCAGAUGCCCCCAGCUGACUCAGGCCCGGCCACGCCCAGCCCGGCGUCCCCCGCCCACCCUCGGGCCUCGCGGAUUCCGAGCUGCCAGAGCCGCUGCUCCUCCUGCACCGGGCGAGGGUAGAGGGAGGGCAUCAGCCCACGGGGCGCUGGGGAAGAGCAGCGGGGCUGUGCUUGGGAGGAAGGGGCUCAGCAGAGGUCCCCGCCCCAGCGGUCAGCGCGGGGCCUCCCAGCCCCUUCAGCAGGGGCCUCCAGCCUCUCCUCCUCCUGACUCUAGACUGGAGCCUGGUGCUGUCCUCAUCUUGUCCCCAGCCGGGAGGGUGAGCUCUGGGGACCCUGAGGACCUCAGAGGCCUCCAUGUGUCAGCGUGCCUCGGUCUCCCCAGAUGGGGCCUUGCUAUGUAGUCCAGGCUGGCCUCAAACUCCUCCUGCCUCAGCCUCCCGAGUGCUAUUAUAGCUUGUGCUGGCCAUGAAGGGGGCUGAGAAGCCGGCCGUGGUGGCGCACAUCUGUCAUCCCAGCACUCAGGAGGCUGAGACAGGAGGAUGGCAAGUCCAACCCCAGCCUGGGGAAGUUGGUGACUUAGUGAGACCCUGUGUCAAAAUAAAAAAGGUGCCUUUAACAAGAUGUCAAUAAUCUGAGGAAUCCACACGGCUGGUGAGCUGGGCCUGGAGCCCGGUUCGGGGCUGGUGCGGUGCUGGGACAGAGCUGAGUAACCCCCAACACAGCCGAGGUGACCCUGGAGCCGAGAGCCGGGUCCCUUCGCUGCCUCCCGCUGCUGCCCUUCCCGCCCGGCCUGGACCCUGAGCCUCUUCCUCCGGCUCCCACACGGGCUGCCGCUCCCUUCCUGGAGACUGGUCCCUAUCUCCCCGCUGCUGCUGCUGCUGCUGCUGCUCCUGCUCCCCACCCCCCCACGCUGCUCCUGAUAUCUCCGCCCUGCAGCUCCAGGUGCCUAUCUCCUGGGCCCGCUGGAGCCCCUGUGACUGAGGUGCUUCCGCCUCCCUGGCUGCCCACCCGCCUGGACCCACACCUGCUGGCCUCGGAAGCCAGUGGGGCCGACGUCCAUGCUCCGGGUCCCCUCGCCCUCUGCUCCCCUCCAUCCUUCUCCUCCCGAGUGCCAGCUGCACCCAGGGGCCACACAGGCUUGGAAGUCGCGACAGGAAGCUGUGCUGGGCAGCUGAGGCCAGAGCUGUCUGCACAACAGAGUAACGCAGUGGCCCAGGACAAGGUGACAGCAUGUCCUGCAGGACCUCAGGUGCCGUGACUGCGGGUGCAGGAGUCAGGCCACAGGCAGGAAGGGCUCACCGAGCUGUGGGAGUAGGCAGGGCUCACAGGUCCUGAAUGAAGCAGAAACAGCCGGGCAUGGUGGCACAUGCCUGUCAUCUCAACGCUUGGGAGGCUGAGGCAGGAGGUCGCUGUGAGUUCCAGGCCAGCCUGGGCUAUACAGCGAGAUCCUGUCUCAAAAAAACAAAAAAACAACAAAAAAGCAGACACAGAAGAACCAAGGGUGGACUGGCCGUUUUGAAGUCUCUCCUUUAAGGAGGGACAGGAGCUGCAGAAUAGAAGUGACCAGAGGGUAGGGCAGGUGCUGCAGGCUCUGUGAGCCUUAGUGGCCGAGGCGGCCGUGCUGAGUGGAAGUGGCUGCUCGGAGGGCGGGCUGUGCUUCUCAGUUUCCUGGAGGCCCGAGGAGUGGCCGCCCUCCAGCAGGCAACUGCAGCUCAGCCCCGACUUGCAGCGACCGGCCCAGCACCGGCCCCUGUUCUCAAUGACACCAGUGCCGUGCCAGAGCCCGAGGGAUAGGACAGUGUCCAGGGGUCCCUGCCAACACGUGCAAGCGAGGCGUGGGUUUUCGUCACAUGCUGGCUCGGCCGCUCCCGUCAAAGGGUUGACCCUUGAAGUCUGGGUGGUGUCAUCCAGCCGUUACAAGGCCUUAAGAACACAAAGGGCCCGGAUGGGAUGGCACAGGCCUGUUGUACCAGCACUCUGGGAGGCUGAGGCAGGAGGAUCCAGUUUGAGUCCAGCUCCAGCAACUUAGCUUCUUAGUAAGAUCUCAAAAUAAGAAAAGAAGAAAAAAAGAGGGCUGGACAUGGAGCUCGGGGCAAAGGCCCUGGGUUCAGUUCCCGGUGAAAAAAAAAGAACAAAAGAGGUUUCCCUGAUGAAGAAGAAAUUCUGCCGGCGAAUGGCAAUGUGGAUCCUGGGCAGAGGUUCCAGCUCUCCCUGCUCCAAGGCGCCUGGCCCAAGUGCGCUGAGGGUGAGGCCAGCCAGCAAAGUAGUCAGGCUCCCAAGACAAGCUCUUCUGCUCAUUUGUUUUCUGAGACAGGGUCUUGCUGUGUAGCCCAGGCUGGCCUCGAAUUCACAGGGAUCCUCCUGCCUCAGCCUCCCCCGAGCUGGGAUGACAGGUGUGCACCACCAUGCCUGGCAAAGCAAAAUCAAUUUAAAGACUAGUUGAAGAAAAAGAAAAACAACCCAGUUUCAAAAGUGGUCAAGGAGCUGAGGCAGGAGGAUCUCUGAGUUUGAGGCCAGCCUGGGCUACACAGCAGAUCCUGUCUCCAUAUAUAUAUAUGUGUGUGUGUGUGUUUACUUUUUGGUACCGGGGAUUGAACUCGGGUCCUUGCGCUUGCGCAGCAGGCAACGAAACCACUGAGCUAAAUCCCUGGUCCCUGUCUCCAUAAAUUAAUUAAUUAAUUAAUUAAGAAGCUGAGCUGACGUCCCCAGAGACACUCACAGGUGGCGCCUGGAGGCUGCCCACAGGGUCACCGGGCCGUGACCUCAGAGGCCAGGAGCCCCCAUGGUCUGAGGAGGCACUGCACACAGCAAACGUCAGCCCAGGGAGGGCAGCCACGCCCCCCGAGGGAAUGCACCGCCGCUGCACUGUGGGUCCUGCUCCACCUGGCCGGGAGGUGGGGAGGCGCAGAGGGAACAUUUCAGAAGCGGAUGGCAGCUGUGCUUGAACAGUGUCGGAAAUGUGAUCUGCACACUGGAAAAUGGUCAGGGUGAGCCGGGCGCGGUGGGCAGGCCUGUGGUCUAGUGUGGUGACUAAUGGUCACCUUGGAGCGUCCAGCUGAGCUGAGCCUGCAUGGCUGGGCGUGAAGACACACCUGAGGAUUGCUGCCAACAGCGUAAGAAGAGACCUGGAGGGCGAGAUCAGGGGCUGUAGAUGUAUUUACUUAUUUAUUUGGUACCUGGGAUCGAACUCCGGACCCUGUGUUUGCGAGGCAGGCAGCAGCACUACUGAGCUACAUCCCCAGCCCAGCUGUUGAUUUUCUAGGAGAAGCUUGCUGCGGCUGGUUUCCUGAUGUGAACUCCGCUGUUCUCGCCCGAGGAGGAGCUUGGGGGCUCACUGUCUCGGGGAAUGGCUGCUGGUCUUCACCGUGGGCGUCACUUCCUGCUCCAGUGCAGACCCCUCAGCCUCGUGCCACAGGUCCUUCCCCCACUGGAGCAGACUUUCCAGCUUCCACCACUGGCCUUGGGCCUUCCCGGGGCAGAGCCUCGAGACGGACAAGCAUGAGGCACUGCCGUGGGCUCUGGGCCUCUGGCUGGACUCAUCAAGGACACUGCUGUGGGGUCCAGGCCCUCAGCUGGAUUCCUUGGCUCUCUAGUGUGCAGCUAGAUCACUUGCACUCCUCUGAAGUUGACUUUUCAGGUGACUACUAUAAAAUCCUAUAAACUAUGUGUCCUGUGUUAAAUCUAUUCCCUUGCAAAACCCUGACUACAACAUCUAGCUUCUUGGGAGGCUGAGGAAGGAGGAUCACAAGUUUAAGGUCAGCCAGG